rnacentral:misc_RNA from 1 species
GGGAAUAACCUCGUGAGUCAAUUUACAGUUAGUAUCAGAGCAAGAACCAUUCAGAAAUUUAGAGCAGACGGCGAUUUUAGAUGGGUCAUGAAUGUAAGGACAUUUUCCACUAUCCUUGUUACACUUGCCAAACCUUGUAAAAAACUGGCAAUACUGUUUCUUUCUUGCCAACCGAAUUCUAGCAGUGUGCAAACUCCAGCGUACUUUCUCACUUGCUAAG